UGAAUUUUGAAAAUGAUAAUCAUGCAUUCUUGUUAUUUUGAUAUCACCUUUGCUAUUUUAUUAUGAUUAUUGUUUAAUGAUAUUAUCUCUAAUUUGUCAUCAUCCACUAAUUUAAGCUUUUGAGUCAAUUGGUAAUUUAAGACAGACUUUGAAGUCCCUAGAAUGUUAUUUCCUUCUCAAUUAAAGUUGAUUUCUACUUGUGGUACAUUCUUCAUAUUUCUAGCCUAAUAUAACAUGAAGUUUGGCUUUGUCCACUGACUUAAGCUUUUGAAUUAAUUGGUGAUUUAAGAAUUAUAGAUAGUUUAAGUCUUCUUUUUAUCUUUAUUUUAUCUAUUUAUUUAUUAUAACUUGACACCCUACUCUUCUAAUAACACAUGUACAAGCAAUUUAAACCUUGUUUAAUUUGGUUGAGGAUGAAAGAUUCAGAGAGGAGCAAAACAAAGGGAGAUGAUAUGUUUUACCUGCUGAAGGUCAAAACACAGGUGGUUUACAUACGUGUAAGCAUGUGAUUCGCACAGGAUUGGUUCCUGCAAGCAUUUGUCUAGCGAAUUCAUCAUCAUCCAUCCAGGCAUCUUCAUUGGCUACCGG